rnacentral:lncRNA from 1 species
GUCAGUUGUGCAUGGAACAUUUCAACGGACGUCGUCUUGAUCUUUCUCCUCUAGAAUGGCCAUGCGGCAGGUAUAGGUAUUCACGUAUUCAGACGUUCCUGAGUAUUUUCCAGAAUACAUUGACAAGGUAUGUCAAUAUAUUCAAAUGUCUGUGUGUUUUCAUUGUAACUCGCAUAAGGGCUUGUAGGGCCCCAUGAUUUCCGCAAUGCGGAAAACUCAGACGGAAUCCUAUGGAAUCCAGAAAUUUAAACAGAUUACAGGUACCCCUCGGACAGGAUACACAGGAUAUUACAGUAACCCAACAUUUGUGUGACAUUUACAUUUUAGUCAUUUAGCAGACGCUCUUAUCCAGAGCGACUUACAGUAGUGAACGCAUACACUUCAUAUAUUUCAUUGAAUAAUAGGUAGGUAUUAGAUAUAUGCUGUAUUGUUAAAUCAACUAAAUGGAUUGAACACGUUAGGCAACAAAAAGUUAACACGGAAUUCCGAAAAAUAAAACAGCAAUUGGAGGAAAAAAGAACAAUAAUUUCAUAGGGCCCUAUUAGUGUUCUACCCAAUGCGUUGUUGGCCAGGCAGGUAUUGACAAUGUGUGUCUUCCUUAUUUUAGAAUGAGGUAGCAUAUGGGGG